GGAGGAUCCGAGCGUUAUCCGGAUUUAUUGGGUUUAAAGGGUGCGUAGGCGGAAGAUUAAGUCAGUGGUGAAAGUUUGCAGCUUAACUGUAAAAUUGCCAUUGAUACUGGUUUUCUUGAGUACAGCUGAGGUAGGCGGAAUGUGGUGUGUAGCGGUGAAAUGCAUAGAUAUACCACAGAACACCGAUUGCGAAGGCAGCUUACUAAACUGUAACUGACGCUGAUGCACGAAAGCGUGGGGAUCAAACAGGAUUAGAUACCCUGGUAGUCCACGCUGUAAACGAUGAUCACUCGUUGUUUGCGAUAUACCGCAAGUGACCAAGCGAAAGCGAUAAGUGAUCCACCUGGGGAGUACGUUCGCAAGAAUG
rnacentral:rRNA from 1 species